rnacentral:rRNA from 1 species
AGCCCGAGUGAUGGCCGAUAUUAUUGGGCCUAAAGCGUCCGUAGCUGGCCGGACAAGUCCGUUGGGAAAUCUGUUCGCUUAACGAGCAGGCGUCCAGCGGAAACUGUUCGGCUUGGGACCGGAAGACCUGAGGGGUACGUCCGGGGUAGGAGUGAAAUCCUGUAAUCCUGGACGGACCACCGGUGGCGAAAGCGCCUCAGGAGGACGGAUCCGACAGUGAGGGACGAAAGCUAGGGUCUCGAACCGGAUUAGAUACCCGGGUAGUCCUAGCUGUAAACGAUGCCCGCUAGGUGUGGCGCAGGCUACGAGCCUGCGCUGUGCCGAAGGGAAGCCGAGAAGCGGGCCGCCUGGGAAGUACGUCUGCAAGGAUGAAAGUUAAAGGAAUUGGCGGGGGAGCACUACAACCGGAGGAGCCUGCGGUUUAAUUGGACUCAACGCCGGACAUCUCACCAGCUCCGACAGUAGUAAUGACGGUCAGGUUGAUGACCUUACCGGAUGCUACUGAGAGGAGGUGCAUGGCCGCCGUCAGCUCGUACCGUGAGGCGUCCUGUUAAGUCAGGCAACGAGCGAGACCCGCACUCCUAAUUGCCAGCAGUACCCUUUGGGUAGCUGGGUACAUUAGGUGGACUGCCGCUGCUAAAGCGGAGGAAGGAACGGGCAACGGUAGGUCAGUAUGCCCCGAAUGAGCUGGGCAACACGCGGGCUACAAUGGUCGAGACAAUGGGAUGCAACUCCGAGAGGAGGCGCUAAUCUCCUAAACUCGAUCGUAGUUCGGAUUGAGGGCUGAAACUCGCCCUCAUGAAGCUGGAUUCGGUAGUAAU